rnacentral:lncRNA from 1 species
GUUCAAAUCAGGUCUUUUCGGUCAAUACGUCCCGCAAAAAGAACAAUCAAGUAUGGUUGUGUUACUAGCAAACAGAGGAUUGCAAUGAAGCCAACCAUGACUGGAUAAACGUGUGUUUAGCGGGAGUAAUUACAUCGAAUGCUUCGUCGAAAGUUGAAGGAGUCGGAAUUCAUGACAUUAGCCGGUUAGGAAAUGUUUUGUGUUAUGCUAUAAAAAUGGAUUUUAUAGAACAAACGACCAUUUAUUGUGAAGAUUGGGCCUUUUGUAUCACCAAAAGAAGAAGAUCUUCAAAGGUGUGUUCUGUCAGACUGAACUCACACAGCCAGGCUCUAUCACCCUGCAGCCUGAACAGCCUCUGACUUUCUCUAGUGAUGGAAAGGGACUGAAGCACUGACUAGACUGAAGAACAGGGACACAAACAACAUAACUACUGACAGUUCAUGAUCAAAAUUUUUCG